CCGAUACGACCGUACCGCAAACCGACACUGGUGCGCGAGAUGAGUAUUCUAAGGCGCUUGAGAGAACUCAGGAGAAGGAACUCGGCAAAUUGACACCGUAACUUCGGAAGAAGGUGUGCCCUAUUAGUGUGUAGUGAACAACGAAGCAUGAAUGGUUGCAAAAAAUCGGUGGCUGCGACUGUUUAUUAAAAACACAGCACUCUGCAAACACGAAAGUGGACGUAUAGGGUGUGACGCCUGCCCGGUGCUGGAAGAUUAAAUGAUGGGGUGCAAGCUCUUGAUUGAAGUCCCAGUAAACGGCGGCCGUAACAAUAACGGUCCUAAGGUAGCGAAAUUCCUUGUCGGGUAAGUUCCGACCUGCACGAAUGGCGUAACGAUGGCCACACUGUCUCCUCCUGAGACUCAGCGAAGUUGAAAUGUUUGUGAUGAUGCAAUCUCCCCGCGGAAAGACGGAAAGACCCCAUGAACCUUUACUGUAGCUUUGUAUUGGACUUUGAACAGAUCUGUGUAGGAUAGGUGGGAGGCUUUGAAGCAGGGUCGCUAGAUCUUGUGGAGCCAACGUUGAAAUACCACCCUGGUGUGUUUGAGGUUCUAACCUAGGUCCAUUAUCUGGAUCGGGGACAGUGCAUGGUAGGCAGUUUGACUGGGGCGGUCUCCUCCCAAAGCGUAACGGAGGAGUUCGAAGGUACGCUAGUUACGGUCGGACAUCGUGACGAUAGUGCAAUGGCAUAAGCGUGCUUAACUGCGAGACUGACAAGUCGAGCAGAUGCGAAAGCAGGACAUAGUGAUCCGGUGGUUCUGUAUGGAAGGGCCAUCGCUCAACGGAUAAAAGGUACUCUGGGGAUAACAGGCUGAUACCGCCCAAGAGUUCAUAUCGACGGCGGUGUUUGGCACCUCGAUGUCGGCUCAUCUCAUCCUGGGGCUGUAGCCGGUCCCAAGGGUAUGGCUGUUCGCCAUUUAAAGAGGUACGUGAGCUGGGUUUAAAACGUCGUGAGACAGUUUGGUCCCUAUCUUCCGUGGGCGCUGCAGAUUUGAGGAAGCCUGCUCCUAGUACGAGAGGACCGGAGUGGACACACCUCUGGUGUAUCGGUUGUCACGCCAGUGGCAUUGCCGAGUAGCUAAGUGUGGAAGAGAUAACCGCUGAAAGCAUCUAAGCGGGAAACUCGUUUCAAGAUGAGAUCUGCCGGGGCCUUGAGCCCCCUAAAGAGUCGUUCAAGACCAGGACGUUGAUAGGUCAG
rnacentral:rRNA from 1 species